UUGACGUGCUUUUCUCACCUGGGAUUUUCUUAUCAGUAUGCUUUUGACUUGAAUUUAUGUGAUUGUUCGAGGAAGGUCUCAUCUAGCACGAGUGAGCACGAUGUCUCGAGCAGGGAUCCAUGCCAUCUACAUGAAUAGCAGGAGAAAAAGGAAGGAGAGAUCAUGAUUGAGUCAUGGCUGGAAUAAAUCAAAGACGCAAAGGGGAUACUGCCUUCAAAUAUCAAAGAAGCAUCCAAAGAAUCAAGCUAUUUGUUUCUGAAAUCUCCCAACUUUCAUAAGGAUAUUGUUGUUCUAACCAAGUUCAAACUUUCCGGUAAGCAGAAACAAAAAGUUUUAAUUUUCAUCUGUUACAUCAGCAAUUAUAAUGUACUUUUUAUUAGAAAAUAAAGGUUUCACUGUUACAAAAAUGAGUGGUUAUGAGCUAUUAUGUAUUAAGUGUGUUUAAGUGUCAUCAUUAUUUGUUAUGUAA